UAUUAUUAAUUUUUAUAAAUAUUAUUAAUAAUUAGAUUUUAAUGAAAAUUAAAUAAUUUGGCAGUAUUUUUUAGAAUUAGAGGAUUUUGUUAAAUAAUAGAUAAUACACUUUAAAAUUUAUUUAAUUUUAUUUUAUUGUAUAUUGUUGUCUUUAGUUAAUUUUAAGAAAAUAUUAAUUAAUAUUAUUAUUAUUAAUUUAAGUCAAAUCAACAUGCAUAUUAUAAUUAAAAUUUAAAUGAAAUACAUUUUAUUUAUAAAUAUGGAUUUAAAUUUGUAAUAAUUUAUUAAAAUUGGAUUUAAAAGUAAAAUUUAAUAAAUUUUAAAUUUGAAUUUAAUUAAAAAUAUGUACAAAUUGCCCGUCGUUUUUAAUUUAUAUUAAAAUAA
rnacentral:rRNA from 1 species